CCACUCUCACUCUCUCAAAAUAAAUAAACUUUUUAAAAAAUUUUAGAAAAAGAAAAAGGUACCGUAAUGUACUAGACUUUCCACUUCCUCCUUCUAAGGACAGAGGAGCGAACAGCCACUGAGGAAAUGACUCAGACUAUGUUAGUAGCUUCAUGGGGUAGAUACAGCACAGCCAGUAAAUGGAGCUGCAUCUUUGUCUUUUCCUUUAUAGUUUCGCCAUUUAAAGGUGUCUUCUCUCCCUCCACUACUUGUUAAAAGAACUAAGUCCAAAAUAUGUCAACAAAGUAAAUCAGGUACCUAGCCUUGAUCAACAGCAAGCUUACAUAUUAUUCCCCAAACAUUAACUGCCCCACCCUCAAAAUGGGCCCUAGGUAACUUCCUUCUGUGACACUACCUAUCUUCCUGUGAUGCAGGCCAAGUUAAGUACUGCUCCCACUCCAUCUCCCUUAACAUCUUUGUAACAUUUUUCUUCCUUUCCCUUCUUCCCUUCCUUCCUUUCGUUCUUUUUUUCCUCAUCUAUGAAGCACCUAUUUAGCUAUAUUUAAGGUUACGUAGCUAAUUCUAGGUUGAGUAAUUCGUCAUUCCUGCCUUCAACUCCAUUAUAAUCAAGAAGAUCGAGAUAUGAGUAACUGGAGUUCAGUCUCUCCUUUCUUAGGUCUCCAUCAAUAUAUCAGUGUCUUGAAGGAAUUAAUGACUUGGGAAAAUGAGAGAAGGAACCUCAGUUGAGGGUUGACACAGCAGAAAUCCCCACUACCUUUUUCAGUGUGAUUCAUGACAUGCUCCUAGAACACGAUCAUAUGUAAGAAAUUCAGGAAAGAGCAAAUGAAACUGGAGCUCAUACAGAUGUGCCCUGCUGUGAAAUAAAGAUGACUCACUAAGCCCCACCCUGAUUUGAAAGAAAUCUGCCUAGGCCAACUCUUGGGGUAUACUCAGUAACCAGCCAGCUGAUGGGUGAUUUGGCUUUCUGAUUGCUGAUAUUGAGAAAAGGGUGCUCCAGUUGAGGGAGGAGCAUUCCAGCUAUUGAAGGACUAAUACCAACUGUUAAUGAAUACGCUCGGAAGAUUAUCUAACACCUGAAAUUUGUACUUGGAGAUUGGCUUCACGCAGCAGGGAUGAAUGGGGACACUAAGGAAGACUGCAGAGCAGCAGUGGCUGCAGUUUCUAAACUGCCAUUUGGGACAAAGUGGCAAAGGAGAAAACUUUUGCAAUGCUGUGGUUGAGAGUGAAUAUUUAGAACUCAAGGCUGAGGGCGACCUUGGUGGUUGUGUGUGGUUUCUGCACUGUGGGGACAGAUGCCUCAUUUAUGGAUGCAGACUUCGUCCAGCUGGGAAAGGUCUCCCAGGACAGGGAAGUUGAGGAAAUGCUGCAGUCUCCAUUCCUCAUUGGUGAUUUCAAAGUGUACAACCCUGCUCAAUGCUCUGAGAAGUCCUGCAGGAAAGGAACCUGCUUUAGGGUUUUUGGCUCUGUGUUUCCCAAAGUUAUUUGACCUCAGAAUUCUUUUUCCCUCUUCAUAACCCUCAUUUAUACUCUGUGAAAGCCACGUUUCCAACAACCCACUUGGAAAAUGCUAUCCCAAUGUCCAGGGGAACUGGUUCUCACCCUUAAUGCCUCACGGUGAGCAGUGAUGGGGAUAUUCUGGCAGGACACAUGAUGUGGAAUCCUGCUGUGAUAAACCAGGAAAUAAAAUUGUGUAUUGUGCCUGUUGGGCCCCUUCCCAUA